rnacentral:rRNA from 1 species
UACGGGGGGAGCAAGCGUUGUUCGGAUUUACUGGGCGUAAAGGGCGCGUAGGCGGCGCAACAAGUCACUUGUGAAAUCUCCGGGCUUAACCCGGAGCGGCCAAGUGAUACUGUCGUGCUAGAGUGCGGAAGGGGCUACUGGAAUUCUCGGUGUAGCGGUGAAAUGCGUAGAUAUCGAGAGGAACACCUGCGGCGAAAGCGGCGCACUGGACCACAACUGACGCUGAGGCGCGAAAGCUAGGGGAGCAAACAGG